CUCUUUACACAUCCAAUUGGGUUCACUAUGUAUGGAGCAACGUUUAGGCUGAACUUUAAAUAGGUAAGGAGGCAGCUUUAGGCUAAACUGAAUUUAACAUGAGAAUAAUAUUAAGGUCUAGAGAAUGUUUAGACUGUCGAUGGUACUGCCGCUCACUGACAGCCUAAAUGGGCUGGGCUUGUCCCCUGAAAGAUAAAACAAGGGAAACCAGCUCCCUAAAUUAAAGGCAUAAAUCGUUGUCCAAUCCCAAAACCAAGACACCAUGGAGUGUUGAUAGAUUUUUUCCAGGUAUCAUCGCUGCGAUUCUACCUGUAAAAGAACACCUUGAGAAGACGCCAUUCAUCACUCUGUCUGGGGGAAAAAGUCAAACAUUCCUCAUCAAGGCCUCGGAAGAAACCAAAGAAACCAAAAAAACACCAAGGGAGAAAAUGUCCACUGAAACACGUGCCUGCCUGGGUGUGAGGAUAUCCUAUGACAGUCACUGUCGCUCAGGCAGAGCUGAGAUCUAACUGUGCUACCCAGCCUGGAGUCCAGUGGCUUUUCACAGGUGCAAGCAUGGCACACUACAGCCUCCUGGACUCAAGAGAUCCUCCGAACUCAGCCUCCUGAGUAGCUUGGACUCCAGGCAUACACCACUGCUCCCAGAAGAUUCUGUUAAUCCUUCAUCCGGGUCACCGCUAUCUGACCCAGCCCCCUGCUGCUGCCGUGCACAGACAGCACAUUCACUGCUGGAGGCUACUGUAAGAGAUGAAAUGGCUGGAAGUCCAGCAGGCAACCUGGGCCAUCAUGUUACCUUAAGAAGGGAUGCCCCACACUGAGAUGGUGGAGCCAAAGGUGGAAGGCACCUGAUGUCCAGGAGGGAUGAAGGCAACUCUGUCAGCCCCAGCAGUGGAGGCAACAAAAAAAUGGCUUGGGAGUUGGAGCCAGAUAUAAAAGCUGCAGACACGGGCCCAACAGUCAGAGGGGUGGCAAACAACAGAUGAAAUGGAUCAGGGAAGAACAGAGGCCCUGGAAGGAAAACACACUUCAAACACCAAGAGGUGGGAGAGUGUUACUAUGGCAAUGCAGGGCUUGGGGCUGGAGCGGCAGAGGGGCUGCUGAGAGCCAGUGAUGAAAACAAAACACAAAGGGAGGAGAUGCCCAAUCUGGAGCUCUGCCAGAGCAGGGUGGGCACCAACUCUCUCUCCUCAUCCCUGGCUUGCCGGCCGCUCCAGCCCCUCCAACUCCCAACGAUAGAAUGCAACUCUCAAAGCCACAGCAGAGCACAGAACAGCCCUGACCUGGCCUCCCCAGCCCUUUCAGCAAGUACAGCCCUGGCUUUCAUUUAUCUGGGAAGGAAAAUCGUGCUCUCCUGCCUGCCUCUAGGACUUAGCUUCUUCCGAGCCCACCAUUUGGAAUUGUGUUUCCCUCCUCUGCUGCAGCAUUGAGAAGAGACAUUAUCUUCUUCCUUCCUUCUUUUUUACUUCUUUUUAUUAUUAUUAAUUUUUAAUUUUGAGACAAGGUCUCAUUAUGUUGCCCAGGCUGGCCUCAAACUCCUGGGCUCAAACAAUCCUCCCGCCUCGGCCUCCCAAGUAGCUGGGAUUAACAGGCGCACACCACACCCAGCUCCCUUUCUUCCUUGUUAUCUUUCCAUUUUUAUUUUGUGCUAGAGCCCCAAAUUACGGAAGAUUAUGUGACAGCAGUGAGAACGUAUCACAUCAAACUCAGAUAUGCAGGAAAAAAACUGGCACUCUUAAUUUUCUCUAACUGCUUUGAAUUUGCUCUGACACCCAUAUUCCUGUUCAGAAUUGGGAUUGCUGAGGGGCAAAGAUAGAGAGAAGAGGACAUAAAUCCACCAAAUAAAGGAAGCUCAACCUGGUGUCGUCUCAAGCCAUCUUUCUUAGGGUAACCCCAUUUCUUUGAGGUAAAUACCCCACCUUUAGAGUUUCUUGCUCCUGCUGGCCAGUGACAUCUGGGAGUCUGUUGGGGUCAGUGGAUGCAUCUGCAGGGUGCUGAGGACCCCUGGGCCCACAGGCCUGCCGUGUGUGUUUCCUGGGCCCUCCAGGCCUCCUCAGGAGCCUUCUUGGGCUCUACCACCAGACACUCCCCUGGUACUUGCUACUCUGGUCUCCCAUGGGGAGGCGGUGGUCAGCCCCUCUCAGAGUCUGCACCUGGUGGGCCUUUCUCGUUGACCUAGCCCU
rnacentral:lncRNA from 1 species